GUGGGGAAUAUUGGACAAUGGGCGAAAGCCUGAUCCAGCCAUGCCGCGUGUGUGAAGAAGGUCUUCGGAUUGUAAAGCACUUUAAGUUGGGAGGAAGGGCAGUAAGUUAAUACCUUGCUGUUUUGACGUUACCAACAGAAUAGGCACCGGCUAACUUCGUGCCAGCAGCCGCGGUAAUACGAAGGGUGCAAGCGUUAAUCGGAAUUACUGGGCGUAAAGCGCGCGUAGGUGGUUCAGCAAGUUGAAGGUGAAAUCCCCGGGCUCAACCUGGGAACUGCCUCCAAAACUACUGAGCUAGAGUACGUUAGAGGGUAGUGGAAUUUCCUGUGUAGCGGUGAAAUGCGUAGAUAUAGGAAGGAACACCAGUGGCGAAGGCGACUACCUGGACUGAUACUGACACUGAGGUGCGAAAGCGUGGGGAGCAAACAGGAUUAGAAACCCUUGUAGUCC
rnacentral:rRNA from 1 species